rnacentral:pre_miRNA from 1 species
UACCUCUCAAAGUGGUUGUGUUUAUGUUGCUAAUGCUCAUAUCACAGCCAGCUUUGAUGAGUUAAG